AUGGCAUCAACGUCACGGAUCUUCGAGUACUUCGUGGUAUGCGGGCUGGGGCCGGAGAUCCGGGCGCUUGAUGGCCUCAAGGGCUUCCAUGGCGCCGAAGAAAUGUACAUGCCUGCCUUCAUCGACCAGUUCCCGCACUCGGGCCACGCGCUCUACCCUCCCCCGCCCCCGCAGCUCCCCACCUGUGUUUUGCCAGCGGGUGUAAGAAUAUACUCUUCUGGGUUGGACGCCAAUGACGUCUCCACCUAUCCAAGGAGCUAUCCCAUAGUUUUGACAGAGGGAGAUGGUUCAAAAAUUUAUGUCAGUUGUAUUGCAUUUCGGGAUCCAAUUUGUGAAGAUAUUAUUGAAGCCUACCAAAUUCCGGUGAAUUCUUUUGCUGAUAAAUGCAUCUGCUUUGUGUCCCAUUCUCCUUGUUUCCAAGUCCUCCGUGAUGCUCUAGAGGAAAUAUUUGUCCUUUGUUUUUCUCCUGCCGGUUGUAGCAAGCCUUUGUGGGAUAUAAUAUCCCAUGUGGUGUCAAAUGUUCCAUUACCAACACCGGGAAAGGAUCGUGUCUUGUUUGCCAUUGAUAAUUGCCUUCUUUCCGCGGAAACUCCUCCAAAAGAAUGGCUUCCUCACGCUGAUAUAUCCUUCCAGCCAUUGGUGCAGUGUCUGGAUGUUGAUAAACUAAUACAGCUCUUUACUGCCGUUCUGCUUGAAAGAAGGAUAUUGCUAAGAUCUAACAAGUAUACAUUAUUAACUCUAGUUUCAGAAGCCAUAUGCCAUUUGAUAUACCCGAUUAGGUGGCAGCAUGUCUACAUUCCAAUAAUAUUCUCUAGUGGUGUUGACUACAUUGAUGCUCCGACUCCCUACAUGAUGGGACUUCAUUCAGGUGUUGACACAUCUACAGUGACAAUGGAUGGUGUAGUGGUGGUUGAUCUCGAAUACAAUCGGAUAACAACCACUGAAGACAUUCCUCCUAUACCCGAAAGCGAACAUAGUUUCUUGCGUGGUGAGAUAUUGAAACUACUACAGCCCAAUGUUGUGGCCAUUGAUUACAUGAAAAUCAAUCUUGGCAGUAUGGGUGACUAUUCUUUAAGGACCGCGGCAAAAUCAUGGGGGCAAGAUCAUGAUUUUCAGCUCAGGCUGAUAUUCUUGAGAUUCUUUGCACAGAUUAUGAGUGGUUACCGUAACUUCAUUGAUAAUGCUUUACCAACCGGUUUCAAUGCUCAAGCAUUCCUUAAAAAACGGUCUCGAGCAACUAAUCAGCCUGUCGAGUCCAUGUCGAUGAUUAUGCAGUUUAUAGAGACUCAGGGAUUCUUGGAUUAUCUGGAAAGAUGCAACAACGCAGAAGAAUUCACCAAUAACCUUCUUGAUAAGCUGCAGGAUGCAACUGGGAGAGGACAAAGCCCUCUGGCCAUCUUUCCUUCUCAUGUUGCUGAUCCUGAGAUCAUAACAAUAGCUGAUUCUGAGAUCGAAGGUUCAGAACCAGGCAAUAGGCACUGUUAUAAAAGCUUUCCAGCAAAUGCAAGAACAGAAGAACAAGAAGAAAAGCGUAAAUCAAUUCUAGCAUUAGUUGGUGGGGCUAGUAAGCAAGUACCAAGCUCUCCUGCUGUCCGAAUCAGUGGGGGUCCAAAGGCAGAAAGUCUGAGUCCCAGAGAGAGGGCGGUAAGUCAUGCAUACUGCUAUGCUGAGAGAGAAAGGAUGGUUCUGGAUAUAAAAGUAAAGCUCCAGGGACUAUGGCUUCGUCUUCUGAGACUUGGGGCAACUGAGGAUCCCCUUUCAUCAUUCGAAUAUGGAACCAUUCUUGCCUUGAUUGAGUCUGAUGCAGAAGGCAUCGGAGGGAGUGGCUUUGUUGAAUGCAUCAGAGAGCACAUUCAUUCUGGUUGGCAAUGCCGCUUGACUGAUGAGCAGUUUAUUGCUGUAAAAGAACUGCUUAAAACGGCUAUAACUCUUGCUAGCUCUCGCGAUGAUGUGUCAACCAUUAGAGAUGCUCUUGAAGUUUCUGCUGAAAUGUACAGGAAGGACCCAAACAAUGUUCAAGACUAUGUCCAGCGUCAUCUGUUAUCCCUAUCAGUCUGGGAGGAGCUUCACUUCUGGGAUGGCUACUUUGAAUAUUUGAUGGAAAACUGUUCGAACAAGUCAACAAAUUAUGUAACAUUAGUUACUGCACAGCUCAUUGUCAUGGCAACUCACAUGGCUGGAUUGGGACUACCUGAUAUCGAUUCUUGGAAUAUGAUCGAGAAAAUAGCAGAGAGAAACAACUUAGGUUAUAAGCAGCUUAUCAAACUUAGAGCAUUGCUCACACAUCUGCAACAACUUCGUGUUGGCUAUUGGGGGGUCCCUAUAGGAAAAGGCCAACCACCGCCAUCAUAUAGCAUGGCUUCCCCUCGUGCGCUUGAUAUAUCUGAUGAAAGCGAACAACCUGCUGAGGCAUCCGUGUUAGGCCGAAGUUGGGUGCACAGUAUGUUCAGUAGGGACAGAAGCUUAAGAGCUAGCUCCUUCAAUCGAGCCAGUGAUACAAAGGCUGGUGCUACUGCGGGCAAAACAGACCUAGCUGCUGCGCAGAAGAAAACUCAAACAAAUAUGAGGAUCCUUAGAGGACACACAGCUGCCAUUACUGCGCUUCAUUGUGUCACAAGAAAAGAGGUGUGGGACCUUGUUGGUGAUCGUGAAGAUGCUGGAUUUUUCAUCAGUGGAAGCACGGAUUGCACGGUAAAAGUUUGGGAUCCAAGUUUGCGUGGUUCCGAACUUCGAGCAACACUUAGAGGGCAUACCAGGACAGUUCGGGCUAUUAGUUCAGAUCGUGGCAAAAUAGUUUCUGGAGGUGAUGAUCAAUCUGUCAUAGUCUGGGAUAAGCAAGCUUUUAAGCUUCUGGAAGAACUGAAGGGCCAUGAUGCACCGGUCACUUCUGUGCGGAUGCUCUCAGGAGAACGUGUUCUUACUGCAUCUCAUGAUGGCACGGUGAAGAUGUGGGAUGUCCGGACUGAUACUUGUGUUGCUACUGUGGGUCGUUGUCAAAGUGCAGUUCUCUGUAUGGAAUACGAUGACUCGACUGGAAUUCUGGCAGCUGCUGGGAGAGAUGUGGUGGCGCAUGUCUGGGAUAUUCGUUCAAGUAAGCAGAUGUUCAAGCUUCAAGGGCAUACAAAGUGGGUAAGAUCAAUGAGGAUGACUGGGGAAACGAUAAUAACUGGGAGUGAUGAUUGGACAGCUAGGGUGUGGUCUCUUACACGGGGAACAUGUGAUGCUGUAUUAGCAUGCCAUGCUGGUCCCAUACUUUGUGUUGAAUACUCACCUUCGGAUAAAGGAAUUAUCACUGGUUCCUCUGACGGGCUUAUACGUUUUUGGGAAAACGAAGGAGGCAUAAAAUGUGUUAAGAAUCUGACGCUUCACUCGGCAUCGGUUCUGUCCAUUAGUGCUGGUGAUCACUGGCUUGGAAUUGGUGCUGCUGAUAAUUCUAUGUCUCUUUUCCAUCGACCACAAGAACGAUUCGGAAGUUUCUCAAAUACAGGAUCAAAAGUUGCAGGAUGGCAGCUUUAUAGAACUCCCCAGAAAACGUCUGCAGUGGUGAGAUGUAUAGCAUCGGACCUGGAUAGGAAAAGAAUAUGCAGUGGUGGCCGGAAUGGACUUCUUAGGCUGUGGGAUGCUACCACAAGUAUCUAA
rnacentral:rRNA from 1 species